rnacentral:rRNA from 1 species
GGCAUGGUUGUCGUCAGCUCGUGUCGUGAGAUGUGGUUAAGUCCCGCAACGAGCGCAACCCUCGACCUUAGUUGCCAGCAUUCAGUUGGGCACUCUAAGGCGACUGCCGGCUAAAAGUCGGAGGAAGGUGGGGAUGACGUCAAAUCAUCAUGCCCCUUAUGACCUGGGCUACACACGUGCUACAAUGGGCGGUACAAAGGGUCGCGAACCCGCAGGGGGAGCCAAUCCCAAAAAGCCGCUCUCAGUUCGGAUUGCAGGCUGCAACUCGCCUGCAUGAAGCCGGAAUCGCUAGUAAUCGCGGAUCAGCAUGCCGCGGUGAAUACGUUCCCGGGCCUU